GACGAACGCUGGCGGCGUGCUUAACACAUGCAAGUCGAACGGAAAGGCCCUGCUUUUGUGGGGUGCUCGAGUGGCGAACGGGUGAGUAACACGUGAGUAACCUGCCCUUGACUUUGGGAUAACUUCAGGAAACUGGGGCUAAUACCGGAUAGGAGCUCCUGCUGCACGGUGGGGGUUGGAAAGUUUCGGCGGUUGGGGAUGGACUCGCGGCUUAUCAGCUUGUUGGUGGGGUAGUGGCUUACCAAGGCUUUGACGGGUAGCCGGCCUGAGAGGGUGACCGGCCACAUUGGGACUGAGAUACGGCCCAGACUCCUACGGGAGGCAGCAGUGGGGAAUAUUGCACAAUGGGCGGAAGCCUGAUGCAGCAACGCCGCGUGCGGGAUGACGGCCUUCGGGUUGUAAACCGCCUUCGCCUGUGAUGAAGCGUGAGUGACGGUAAUGGGUAAAGAAGCACCGGCUAACUACGUGCCAGCAGCCGCGGUGAUACGUAGGGUGCGAGUGUUGUCCGGAUUUAUCGGGCGUAAAGGGCUCGUAGGUGGUUGAUCGCGUCGGAAGUGUAAUCUUGGGGCUUAACCCUGAGCGUGCUUUCGAUACGGGUUGACUUGAGGAAGGUAGGGGAGAAUGGAAUUCCUGGUGGAGCGGUGGAAUGCGCAGAUAUCAGGAGGAACACCAGUGGCGAAGGCGGUUCUCUGGGCCUUUCCUGACGCUGAGGAGCGAAAGCGUGGGGAGCGAACAGGCUUAGAUACCCUGGUAGUCCACGCUGUAAACGGUGGGUACUAGGUGUGGGGUCCACUCCACGGGUUCCGUGCCGUAGCUAACGCUUUAAGUACCCCGCCUGGGGAGUACGGCCGCAAGGCUAAAACUCAAAGGAAUUGACGGGGCCCCGCACAAGCGGCGGAGCAUGCGGAUUAAUUCGAUGCAACGCGUAGAACCUUACCUGGGUUUGACAUGGAUCGGGAGUGCUCAGAGAUGGGUGUGCCUCUUUUGGGGUCGGUUCACAGGUGGUGCAUGCCUGUCGUCAGCUCGUGUCGUGAGAUGUUGGGUUAAGUCCCGCAACGAGCGCAACCCUUGUUCACUGUUGCCAGCACGUUAUGGUGGGGACUCAGUGGAGACCGCCGGGGUCAACUCGGAGGAAGGUGGGGAUGACGUCAAGUCAUCAUGCCCCUUAUGUCCAGGGCUUCACGCAUGCUACAAUGGCUGGUACAGAGAGUGGCGAGCCUGUGAGGGUGAGCGAAUCUCGGAAAGCCGGUCUCAGUUCGGAUUGGGGUCUGCAACUCGACCUCAUGAAGUCGGAGUCGCUAGUAAUCGCAGAUCAGCAACGCUGCGGUGAAUACGUUCCCGGG
rnacentral:rRNA from 1 species